UACGUAGGGCGCAAGCGUUGUCCGGAAUCAUUGGGCGUAAAGAGCUCGUAGGCGGCCUGUUGCGUCCGCUGUGAAAUCCCGGGGCUAACCCCGGGCGUGCAGUGGAUACGGGCUGGCUGGAGGCAGGCAGGGGAGAACGGAAUUCCCGGUGUAGCGGUGAAAUGCGCAGAUAUCGGGAGGAACACCGGUGGCGAAGGCGGUUCUCUGGGCCUGUACUGACGCUGAGGAGCGAAAGCGUGGGGAGCGAACAGG
rnacentral:rRNA from 1 species